GUGGGGAAUAUUGGGCAAUGGGCGCAAGCCUGACCCAGCAACGCCGCGUGAGGGAAGAAGGUUUUCGGAUUGUAAACCUCUGUCGCAAGGGACGAAAGCAAUGACGGUACCUUGUGAGGAAGCCCCGGCUAACUACGUGCCAGCAGCCGCGGUAAUACGUAGGGGGCGAGCGUUGUCCGGAAUUACUGGGCGUAAAGGGUGCGUAGGCGGUUGCUUAAGUUGGAUGUGAAAUACCCGGGCUUAACUUGGGGGGUGCAUUCAAAACUGGGCGACUAGAGUUCAGGAGAGGGAAGCGGAAUUCCUAGUGUAGCGGUGAAAUGCGUAGAUAUUAGGAGGAACACCAGUGGCGAAGGCGGCUUUCUGGACUGACACUGACGCUGAGGCACGAAAGCGUGGGGAGCAAACAGGAUUAGAUACCCGAGUAGUCC
rnacentral:rRNA from 1 species